AUUGAACGCUGGCGGCAGGCCUAACACAUGCCAGUCGAGCGGAUGAAGGGAGCUUGCUCCUGGAUUCAGCGGCGGACGGGUGAGUAAUGCCUAGGAAUCUGCCUGGUAGUGGGGGAUAACGUCCGAAAACGGGCGCUAAUACCGCAUACGUCCUGAGGUAGAAAGUGGGGGAUCUUGGGACGUCACGCCAUCAGAUGAGCCUAGGUGGGAUUAGCUAGUUGGUGGGGUAAAGGCCUACCAAGGCGACGCUGCGUAACUGGUCUGAGAGGAUGAUCAGUCACACUGGAACUGAGACACGGUCCCGACUCCUACGGGAGGCAGCAGUGGGGAAUAUUGGACGAUGGGCGAAAGCCUGAUCCAGCCAUGCCGCGUGUGUGAAGAAGGUCUUCGGAUUGUAAAGCACUUUAAGUUGGGAGGAAGGGCAGUAAGUUAAUACCUUGCUGUUUUGACGUUACCAACAGAAUAAGCACCGGCUAACUUCGUG
rnacentral:rRNA from 1 species